GGAAGAGAGUGGUUCUUUGUCCAGUGAAUCAUCUGGAGAAAAAGUAGAGUCAAGUAGUGAGGAAGAACCAACUCCUGCAAAAGUCCCACAUCUCACCAGAUCAUCUCAUGGCCCAACAAGAAGAAGCAGUAGAAAAAUGGUGGUAGAGGAGAGUGCAUCAGACUCUGGUGAUUUUAACGAAGCUGCUAGAGCUCGACGAAAGAUCAAGUCACUUCCAGAGGAUCCCUAUCUUGUCAGCAGCAGUAAUAAUAGUAGCAACUCUAGGUCUCCACACGCUCAAAAACCUGUUGAUACUGGAUCAAGUUCCAGCAGAAAAAGAAGAAAGAACACAUCAAGUGAAUUAUUAAAAUCUAGUUUUCCAUCUGUAAUGACAUCAGACGGGAGCAUCUCAGAUUCUAGUGCAACAAGAACCACACGUAGUAAAUCAAAAAGGACCUCUGGCAGCAAUAGUACUACCAGCAGCCCUGCUUCUAGCAGCAGCUGGUGGUCUGCUACUCAGAGUGUGGAUACAUCUGGAGAGGAAUCUACAUCUUCAAGGAUCACGCGUACAAGGCACUCCAAAAAAUCUGAUACUCCACAAACUAUCAAUAAAUUGCAGACACCUAAUUUAAAAGCACAGGAAACAUCUUCCCGUAGGUCUUCAAGGAAUAGGAAGAGUAAAUAAGGCGCACACACACACACACACACACACACACACACACACACACACACACACACACACACACACACACACACACACACACACACACACACACACACACACACACACACACACACACACACACACACACACA